UAAUUAAGUAAUUGGUAAAAUAAAAGUA
rnacentral:sRNA from 1 species